UUUAGAUUAGAAAGGUGAGCGUUUCUUGUUCACCAAUAUUUCAUGUGUUUUUGCACACAUGAACAAUUUAGUACAUAUAGCAUGCAGAUAAUGGCUUUAGAAAAAGUCAACUUUAAUGUUGUGCUAGUCACAAAUAUCAGAGGUCAUUUCUCCUUUAGUGUUUCUGAACUACAUCAAGAAAGGUGGAUUGCUAGAGAAUGACUUGCAGCAUUUGUUGUCUAGAGGUUUAGGAAUAUAACGUGGAUGUGUCAAAGACAUCAGCACCACACAACCCCUGAAGUGACUACAGUUACAAACUACUAAGGGUUCUAAAAAGGAUGAACAAUGUGAAUAUGAUGACGACGAUGAUGAUAUAGAUUACCUUGCAGACUGUCUUCUGAUCAUACCUCUAAAUGUAUGUAAAAAAAAAUCAAUGUGCAUUAUACUAGAAAGGCUUUGAAUAAAGAUGUACAUACAGUG